CCUACGGGUGGCAGCAGUGGGGAAUAUUGGACAAUGGGCGAAAGCCUGAUCCAGCCAUGCCGCGUGUGUGAAGAAGGCCUUCGGGUUGUAAAGCACUUUCAGUGGGGAAGAAAGCCUUGGGGCUAAUACCCUCGAGGAAGGACAUCACCCACAGAAGAAGCACCGGCUAACUCCGUGCCAGCAGCCGCGGUAAUACGGAGGGUGCGAGCGUUAAUCGGAAUUACUGGGCGUAAAGCGCGCGCAGGCGGUUUGUUAAGCAGGUUGUGAAAGCCCCGGGCUCAACCUGGGAACGGCAUCCGGAACUGUCUGGCUAGAGUGCAUGAGAGGAAGGUAGAAUUCCCGGUGUAGCGGUGAAAUGCGUAGAGAUCGGGAGGAAUACCGGUGGCGAAGGCAGCCUUCUGGACUGACACUGACGCUGAUGUGCGAAAGCGUGGGUAGCAAACAGGAUUAGAUACCCCUGUAGUC
rnacentral:rRNA from 1 species